rnacentral:rRNA from 1 species
CAAUACUUAGUGGCAGACGGGUGAGUAACAUGUAGGUAUCUGCCCUUUGGCCUGGAAUAACACGAGGAAACUUGUGCUAAUACCGGAUAAGUCUUUACGGAGAAAGCUUUAUGCACCAUUGGAUGAGCCUGCACUUGAUUAGUUUGUUGGUGGGGUAAUGGCCUACCAAGACUGUGAUCAAUAGCUGAUUUGAGAGGAUGAUCAGCCACAUUGGGACUGAGACACGGCCCAAACUCCUACGGGAGGCAGCAGUGGGGAAUCUUGCACAAUGGAGGAAACUCUGAUGCAGCGAUGCCGCGUGAGUGAAGAAGGCCCUUGGGUUGUAAAGCUCUUUCGUCGGGGAAGAAAAUGACUGUACCCGAAUAAGAAGGUCCGGCUAACUUCGUGCCAGCAGCCGCGGUAAUACGAAGGGACCUAGCGUAGUUCGGAAUUACUGGGCUUAAAGAGUUCGUAGGUGGCUGAAAAAGUUAGUGGUGAAAUCCCAGAGCUUAACUCUGGAACUGCCAUUAAAACUUUUCAGCUAGAGUAUGAUAGAGGAAAGCAGAAUUUCUAGUGUAGAGGUGAAAUUCGUAGAUAUUAGAAAGAAUACCAAUUGCGAAGGCAGCUUUCUGGAUCAUUACUGACACUGAGGAACGAAAGCAUGGGUAGCGAAGAGGAUUAGAUACCCUCGUAGUCCAUGCCGUAAACGAUGUGUGUUAGACGUUGGAAAUUUAUUUUCAGUGUCGCAGGGAAACCGAUAAACACACCGCCUGGGGAGUACGACCGCAAGGUUAAAACUCAAAUGAAUUGACG